UGGGGAAUAUUGGACAAUGGGCGCAAGCCUGAUCCAGCGACGCCGCGUGAGUGAUGAAGGCCUUCGGGUUGUAAAGCUCUGUUGAGAGGGAAGAAAACGGGUGGCGCGAAUAGCUCCAUCCCUUGACGGUACCUCUUUAGAAAGCACCGGCUAACUCUGUGCCAGCAGCCGCGGUAAGACAGAGGGUGCAAACGUUGCUCGGAAUUACUGGGCGUAAAGCGCGUGUAGGCGGACCAGCAAGUCAGGCGUGAAAUCCCUAGGCUCAACCUAGGAACUGCACCUGAAACUGCUGGUCUGGAGUGGUGGAGAGGAAAGCAGAAUUCCUGGUGUAGAGGUGAAAUUCGUAGAUAUCAGGAGGAACACCGGUGGCGAAGGCGGCUUUCUGGACACUUACUGACGCUGAGACGCGAAAGCGUGGGGAGCAAACAG
rnacentral:rRNA from 1 species